rnacentral:rRNA from 1 species
GUAGCAGAAUAGUUUGUUCUUUAAUUGGGGGUUGGUAUGAAGGGUUAAACAAAAUAUAUCUUUUAGGUAAAGUAAAUUAAAUUGUAGGUUAAAAUGCUUACAUAUAAUAAAGGGACGAUAAGACCCUAAAAUCUUAGAUUAUUAGAUAAUUAACUUAGUUUAUUGUGUAUAGAUAAUUUUACAGUAAUAUUAGCUGGGGAAGUGGUUUUGGUGAAUCGAAAUUAUAAAAUAUUUAUUAUAAAGUUUAAGGUCUUUAGUUAAAGAUAGAUGGGUAUAGUUACUUUAGGGAUAACAGCGCAAUAGGUUUGGAGAGCUCUUAUUUAUAAGACUAAUGUGCGACCUCGAUGUGGAAUUAGAAUAUCUAAGAGGAGUAGAAACUUCAUAAGAAGGUUUGUUCAACCUUUAAAUUUUU